GCCUGGGUGGCUCAGUCGGUUAAGCGUCUGACUUCGGCUCAGGUCACGAUCUCACGGUUUGUGAGUUCGAGCCCCGCGUCGGGCU
rnacentral:tRNA from 1 species